UACGUAGGGGGCAAGCGUUGUCCGGAAUCAUUGGGCGUAAAGAGCGCGUAGGCGGCCCAGUAAGUCCGCUCUGAAAGUCAGGGGCUCAACCCCUGAAUGCGGGUGGAUACUGCUGGGCUAGAGUCCGGAAGAGGUGAGUGGAAUUCCUGGUGUAGCGGUGAAAUGCGCAGAUAUCAGGAGGAACACCAAUGGCGAAGGCAGCUCGCUGGGACGGUACUGACGCUGAGGCGCGAAAGCUAGGGGAGCGAACGGG
rnacentral:rRNA from 1 species